GGGGUUUUAGCUCAGUGGCAUAAGUGCCUGCCUUGAAAGCAGGCAGUCUUGAGUUCGAUCCCCGGUACCGCUA
rfam:Cavia porcellus supercont2_42 genomic scaffold, whole genome shotgun sequence.